rnacentral:rRNA from 1 species
AGUAAAGUGAAGCCGCGAAUAGCUCAUUAUAACAGCCGUUGUUUCUUGGAUAACCUCUCCACUUGGAUAACUGUGGUAAUUCUAGAGCUAAUACAUGCCAUGAGUCUCCGAUCGCAAGUGACGAGCGCCCUUAUUAGUUCAAGACCAUCCGGCUUCGGCCGUUCUUUGGUGAACCUGAAUAACACAGCAGAGCGCAUGGGCUUGUCCCGGCGCCAAAUCUUUCAAGUGUCUGCCUUAUCAACUUUCGAUGGUAGUUUAUGUGACUACCAUGGUUGUGACGGGUAACGGAGGAUUAGGGUCUGACUCCGGAGAGGGAGCCUGAGAAACGGCUACCACUUCUAAGGAAGGCAGCAGGCGCGCAAAUUACCCAUUCUCAGAACGAGGAGGUAGUGACGAAAAAUACCAAGGUGAGCCCCAAUGGGGUUCGCCAUUGGAAUGAGAACAAUCUAAAUCUUUUAACGAGGAUCUAGUGGAGGGCAAGUCUGGUGCCAGCAGCCGCGGUAAUUCCAGCUCCGCAAGUGUAUUCCUAUACUGCUGCGGUUAAAAAGCUCGUAGUUGGAUCUGAGUGCUUAGCUCGCGGUGCAGGGUCUUCCCUGUUACUGUGCAGCGGCACAUAACUGUUGAUCGGUUGCCAUUGUUGCCUUUACUGGUGACUUUGGUCGACUGUCAACGCGUUUACUUUGAACAAAUCAGAGUGCUCAAGACAGGCGUUGCGCUUGUAUGUUUGUGCAUGGAAUAAUAGAAUAGGACCUUCGGUCUAUUUUGUUGGUUUUCGGAGUGAAGGUAAUGAUUAAGAGGGACAGACGGGGGCAUUCGUACUGCAACGGGAGAGGUGAAAUUCUUGGAUCGUUGCAAGACGAACUACUGCGAAAGCAUUUGCCAA